rnacentral:misc_RNA from 1 species
UACAAGGAAGUCAUCUUCGCCACACUUUGCAAAGUUAAAGUCUUAAGAGUAAGAGAGCUAGAAGUGAUCAUCUGUGUUUAGUAACCCUCUAAACGUUGCCACAACAUCCAGACAACGCAGUUAUCAGCAGCAGCAACAACAUGGCAGAGAAAACUACCUGUAUGGUCACUUGCCCUGCCUGUCCAGAGUGUCCAACAGUUGGCAUACAGGUGGCAAGUGAUAAUUCUACAUCUGACAUGUCUGACACUCGUAGCAGUGAAGAUGCUACCACCCCUGGACUGAACACAGCAACUCCAGACACAUUGCCAAAUCCAUGCUUCCAAUGUGAUUGUGAAAUGUGGAAGAGAAGUACCUUUUGUCUAGUGGUAGUAGUCAUCAUCCUGAUUAUUUUAGUGGUGGUGUUGGUCAGCCUUUUAUACAAGCAAAGAAAAGAUGGCAGACCUCAGAAACGUCAAGAUCCGGAAAAUGCCCCUUGUAACGGCCAAGAUGGAAUUCAUUAUAACAAAUCCAACGGGAAGGUUUCUACGGAAAAGUUUUUGAUAGACUCCAGUGGUAGUACCCCUGUGUUUUGUUCUGCUGUUUCUUCUCAAGAGCAACUGAAUGCAUCUUACAGCGGAGGCCCUUUAGUUUUCACGCACUUUUCUGUCCCACACAAUGAAUACAAUCUUGCCAAGGAAUCCAUGGCUGCCCUAAACGACUGUGAAGUGGAUGUCCACAACCCCCCAACCGGCACUGGCAAAGAAGCUGGUGUCACCGUUGCCACAGGGAGUGAUGUUGCCACACCAAAAAAGAGCCCAGCUAGCGAGCCACCCAAAAGUUUGAAGGUGAACACCAAACCGUUGCUGAAGAGGGAUUACAAUGUCAGUGAAGGCACGCCAAGUACCCAGCCCUUGCUGGCCACCAGCACACAGCCUGGGGACACUGUGGCAAGUGACACGGUGACGAGCAUUUCUGGUCACAUUGGAAACAAUGUUGAGUCCUUGCAAAACACCCCGCCAGGCAGCACUUCACUACACGAGGCACCUACUGCACCAUACAGGGAAAGUCCACCAACUUCACCUUCCUGCAGUGCAUUUGAGAAAUCAGAAGGCCAGUGUGGAACAACAUCCCACUGUAACGAAUGGCACGCUGACUUUGUCAAGGACAAUAUCAAUGUCACAAACCACACAGACUUCUUUGCCAAGCUUGGCUUGAGCAAAACAAAAUAUGAGGUAACGAAGUACGACCACAGGCAUGAGGGAAUACAGGAGCAGAUCAGGCACGUCAUCAUCAAUGACUUCAUCGGAAAAGAGGACAACCCGUCCAUCUACAGGUUGCUUUCUGCAUUAGAUGCAAGUGGUAACAAACAUGUCUCCAGGAUGUUCCGGGAAAAAUUCAAUGUUACCAGCAGUGCAGGUUCUUAACCUCAUCACAAGGUUGGAGUGCUGUAGCUGAGUCCGUAAGUUAGGCACAAGUAACAUGGAUGUAGUGACAAGGGAACACUUUUUUUCACAUGGACUUAUGAUGGACUAGCUAGCUGGUGACGAUUUGUGAUGGACUCGACAACACUAUUAUUAUUAUUAUUAUUAUUAUUAUUAAUCAUUUCUGGUAAUGAAACCAAGGAUUCCCCAAAAGCGCCCUAGGCACUGUAGCUCGCAAGCCUGAAGAAACCUGUGGAGAGAAGACAAUGAGAAGAAGUUACAGUUUUGGUGUUUUUUGUACCCUUUUCUUAAACCAUUCAGCUUCCAAUGAACAUCUCUGUGAUAGAAAAUUGGUGCAGAAUCGAAUUGAGAUGGUUUCCAGGUUACUUGGGACUUGUAAAACUGAUUUGUUGUGCCUUGAGAAGUUUAUUAAAGAGCCGGCGUUCAGUGCUGGAAUGUGGUAUCCAUGCAUGUCCUUUGCAGUGCAGUGUGCACAGCCAUGGGGACAGCUGAGAGUGUGGUAGAGACUCCCUCCUCAAGAAAUACUGUAACGAGGAACCGUUAAAACUGGCUGGCAUUUUUAACUUGGCAAAAGCUGUGCAAAGCACAGGCAUCGUGCAGGAACUGUUGAAGGCGCUGGUUAGUGUGGGAAAAAAUUGAAGUACAUGUACAUCUACCAGUGCAUCACUUCAGUUCAAAUGCAGCACGAGUCAAGUCAAGUGCAGUGACAGUGUUAUUGUACUUGUACUCGGUAGUUGUACUUGUGUACAACUGAGGGGCCGUGUCGUAAGUCCAAAGCCUCAUAAGUCCGAAGUCUCAUAAGUCUGAAAUUUUGGAAUGAUGAGGUGUCGGAUUUAUGAAAUUUCAGAAUUAUGAGGUGUCGGAUUUAUGAGGCCUCAGACUUAUGAAUUCCGCCUCAUAGUGCCAACGCCUCAUAGGUCCGACGCCUCAUAAAUCUGACAUCAGACAAACGAGGCGCCGGACAAACAUGUAUGAGUUGUAUUCAUCCGCUUCUGUGUUGUAUUCAUCAACUCAUUUAUUCGUACAGCCACCACUGCCACAUGACACAGUGCUUAAUAUCAAUAUUUUGUCCGUGGGCGGAGAUUGAGCAAUUUGAUUCCUGCAAAAGUGUUUCAUUUUGAAAGAGUAACAAAACUGCCCAGCAAAACUGUUUGGCGGCAAAUCAACUUGAUGUACAUGCUGUUCGAUAUAUGCAAGCUUGAUAGAUGCAGUACGGUACCUUGACUUAAUGAUACAACAUUUAAAACAUUUAGCAAAACCUUCGUGGCUCGCUUGAAAUGCUUACAUUUAGCCAAAUGCUCAAACAUUCAGCCACCACUGAACAAAGGCUACAUGUACCUGCCUUAUAAAGUACAUGUGAGCCUUAUUGUGUAUGAGAGGCAUGAAACAUCAGUCUUACGAUAGCUGAGCAGCAUGAUAAGGGUUCAAAACGUUCAAGGUUUCAUUGACAUGAAAAUGGUUGGGAAUAUUUGUGAACAACACAUGUACAUGUACAUGUAAG